rnacentral:tRNA from 1 species
GAGGGUAUAGCUCAGUGGUAGAGUGUAUGCUUAGCAUGCACAAGGUCCCGGGUUCAAUCCCCAGCACCUCA